UACGUAGGGUGCAAGCGUUGUCCGGAAUUAUUGGGCGUAAAGAGCUCGUAGGCGGUCUGUCGCGUCUGCUGUGAAAACUGGGGGCUCAACCCCGGGCCUGCAGUCGAUACGGGCAGACUAGAGUGCGGUAGGGGAGACUGGAAUUCCUGGUGUAGCGGUGAAAUGCGCAGAUAUCAGGAGGAACACCGGUGGCGAAGGCGGGUCUCUGGGCCGUAACUGACGCUGAGGAGCGAAAGCGUGGGGAGCGAACAGG
rnacentral:rRNA from 1 species